rnacentral:rRNA from 1 species
UACGUAGGGGGCAAGCGUUAUCCGGAUUUACUGGGUGUAAAGGGAGCGUAGACGGCCUUGCAAGCCAGAUGUGAAAGCCCGGGGCUCAACCCCGGGACUGCAUUUGGAACUGUAUGGCUGGAGUGUCGGAGAGGCAGGCGGAAUUCCUAGUGUAGCGGUGAAAUGCGUAGAUAUUAGGAGGAACACCAGUGGCGAAGGCGGCCUGCUGGACGAUGACUGACGUUGAGGCUCGAAAGCGUGGGGAGCAAACAGG